GCCUUUAAUUCUUGCAGAAGCGGGUGUGCAAGCGGGUAGAAACCAUUCCAUGGGAAGCUGACAUUGGCUUCCUUGACUGGGCAAUGGAGCUGGAUUCUAAAGAGAAAGUCUCCACUGACUGUGUUCCUCAAGCUGCAAAGACGAAUCAAGAUUCACUGAUUUUUGAAAACCAUGGAAGCAGAGGUACUGCCCAGCCUUGCCCAAGAUGUAUGGCUGGAGAAUCUGGACACUUCAGUCAUAUCCUGAACUUGUAGAAGUUGAGAGGAGGCAAAUCGGUAACGCUCCCCUUGCAUUCUGAGCAUGCAGGUGUGAACACUGUCCUGCUGGAUUUCUGUGCAUCCCUUCUACCAGUGGCGAGGGCCUCUGUGUGUUAUCAGCACAUAGCAGUUUGCUGUAUGCCUCAAUUCCAUUGCACUGCUCUGUAUAUCAUUGGUUUUACACUUGAAAAAUGCUCCUGCUUUUAAAAAAGCUCAGUAUC